CGGCGAGUGAAGCGGCAACAGCUCAGAUUUGAAAUCUGGCACCCGCCCGAGUUGUAAUUUGUAGAGGAUGCUUCUAGGCAGCGGCCGGUCUAAGUUUCUUGGAACAGGACGUCAUAGAGGGUGAGAAUCCCGUAUGUGACCGGCUGGCACCUUACACGUAGCUCCUUCGACGAGUCGAGUUGUUUGGGAAUGCAGCUCUAAAUGGGAGGUAAAUUUCUUCUAAAGCUAAAUACCGGCCAGAGACCGAUAGCGCACAAGUAGAGUGAUCGAAAGAUGAAAAGCACUUUGGAAAGAGAGUUAAAAAGCACGUGAAAUUGUUAAAAGGGAAGCGCUUGCGACCAGACUUGUCGGCGGUGUUCCGCCGGUCUUCUGACCGGUCUACUCGCCGCCUGCAGGCCAGCGUCGUCUGGGGCCGCCGGAGAAAGGCGUCGGGAAUGUAGCUCCUCCGGGAGUGUUAUAGCCCGUCGCACAAUACGGUGCGCGCCGGGCGAGGUCCGCGCUUCGGCAAGGACGCUGGCGUAAUGGUCGUAAGCGGCCCGUCUUGAAACACGGACCAAGGAGUCGAUCAAUCGUGCGAGUGUUCGGGUGGAAAACCCUUGCGCGCAAUGAAAGUGAACGGAG
rnacentral:rRNA from 1 species